UACGGGAGUGGCAAGCGUUAUCCGGAAUCAUUGGGCGUAAAGCGCCUGUAGGUUGUUUAAUAAGUCUGUUGUUAAAGACUAGGGCUCAACCCUAGAAAAGCAAUGGAAACUACUAGACUAGAGUAUGGCAGGGGUAGAGGGAAUUUCUAGUGUAGCGGUGAAAUGCGUAGAUAUUAGAAAGAACACCGGUGGCGAAAGCGCUCUACUGGACCAUUACUGACACUCAGAGGCGAAAGCUAGGGUAGCAAAAGGGAUUAGAUACCCCUGUAGUCCUAGCCGUAAACGAUGGAUACUACAUGUUGUAUUUAUUUUACAGUAUGGUAGCUAACGCGUUAAGUAUCCCGCCUGGGGAGUACGCUCGCAAGGGUG
rnacentral:rRNA from 1 species